AGCUGGUUCCCUCCGAAGUUUCCCUCAGGAUAGCUGGAGCCCAUUACGAGUUCUAUCAGGUAAAGCCAAUGAUUAGAGGCAUUGGGGACGCAACGCUCUCGACCUAUUCUCAAACUUUAAAUAGGUAGGAUGGCUCGGCUGCUUCGGUGAGCCGUGCCACGGAAUCGGGUGCUCCAAGUGGGCCAUUUUUGGUAAGCAGAACUGGCGAUGCGGGAUGAACCGGAAGCCGGGUUACG
rnacentral:ncRNA from 1 species